rnacentral:rRNA from 1 species
UGGGGAAUAUUGGGCAAUGGGCGAAAGCCUGACCCAGCAAUGCCGCGUGAAUGAAGAAGGUCUUAGGAUUGUAAAAUUCUGUCCUAUGGGAAGAAACAAAUGACGGUACCAUAGGAGGAAGCCCCGGCUAACUACGUGCCAGCAGCCGCGGUAAUACGUAGGGGGCGAGCGUUGUCCGGAAUUACUGGGCGUAAAGAGAGCGUAGGCGGCACUGUAAGUUUCAUGUGAAAUACCCCGGGGACUUAACUUGGGGGGCUUGGCAUGGGAAAAUCUGCAGAGCUUGAGUACGGGAGAGGCAAGCGGAAUUCCUAGUGUAGCGGUGAAAUGCAUAGAUAUUAGGAGGAACACCAGUGGCGAAGGCGGCUUGCUGGACCGAAACUGACGCUGAGGCUCGAAAGCGUGGGGAGCAAACAGGAUUAGAUACCC